rnacentral:rRNA from 1 species
UACGGAGGGUGCGAGCGUUGUCCGGAAUCACUGGGCGUAAAGGGCGCGUAGGCGGCCUGGCAAGUCGGUGGUGAAAGCUCGGGGCUCAACUCCGAGUCGGCCACUCGAUACUGCGAGGCUCGAGUCGACUAGAGGCAGAUGGAAUUCCGGGUGUAGCGGUGGAAUGCGUAGAGAUCCGGAAGAACACCGGUGGCGAAGGCGGUCUGCUGGGUCGAACUGACGCUGAGGCGCGACAGCGUGGGGAGCAAACAGG